rnacentral:rRNA from 1 species
UGGGGAAUAUUGGGCAAUGGGCGCAAGCCUGACCCAGCAACGCCGCGUGAAGGAAGAAGGCUUCGGGUUGUAAACUUCUUUGACAGGGAAGAGUAGAAGACGGUACCUGUCGAAUAAGCCACGGCUAACUACGUGCC